rnacentral:sRNA from 1 species
AAGGUAAUGUUUUUUUAACAGACCUUUUUCAUUCAUCAUCUUCUUCGUUGCUUCUUCUCUUCUCUCCAUCCAACAGAAAAUUUCCAGAAAAUUUAAAUUUUUUAUAUCAAUCCAUUCUAAUUUAAAAACAUCUAUUGAUUUAAGAAAACUAAACCCUAAGAUACUAUAUAUGGAACCCAAACAAAAAUAAUUAAACUAAAUGAAAUCAUCUCAAGUUUCAGUUUUUAGAAAUCUGACAAAAUCAUGUUUAUAUACUUUUAAUCUCUUUUCUCCUUUCCUAAAGCGAAUUGAAAUCGAUUCGAUUUUGGGUUUAAAUUUGUGUUAAGGAUUU